CGGCGUCGAGCGGCGGACGGGUGAGUAAUGCCUAGGAAAUUGCCCUGAUGUGGGGGAUAACCAUUGGAAACGAUGGCUAAUACCGCAUAACGCCUACGGGCCAAAGAGGGGGACCUUCGGGCCUCUCGCGUCAGGAUAUGCCUAGGUGGGAUUAGCUAGUUGGUGAGGUAAUGGCUCACCAAGGCGACGAUCCCUAGCUGGUCUGAGAGGAUGAUCAGCCACACUGGAACUGAGACACGGUCCAGACUCAUACGGGAGGCAGCAGUGGGGAAUAUUGCACAAUGGGCGCAAGCCUGAUGCAGCCAUGCCGCGUGUGUGAAGAAGGCCUUCGGGUUGUAAAGCACUUUCAGUCGUGAGGAAGGUGGUGGUGUUAAUAGCUCUAUCAUUUGACGUUAGCGACAGAAGAAGCACCGGCUAACUCCGUGCCAGCAGCCGCGGUAAUACGGAGGGUGCGAGCGUUAAUCGGAAUUACUGGGCGUAAAGCGCAUGCAGGUGGUUUGUUAAGUCAGAUGUGAAAGCCCGGGGCUCAACCUCGGAAUAGCAUUUGAAACUGGCAGACUAGAGUACUGUAGAGGGGGGUAGAAUUUCAGGUGUAGCGGUGAAAUGCGUAGAGAUCUGAAGGAAUACCGGUGGCGAAGGCGGCCCCCUGGACAGAUACUGACACUCAGAUGCGAAAGCGUGGGGAGCAAACAGGAUUAGAUACCCUGGUAGUCCACGCCGUAAACGAUGUCUACUUGGAGGUUGUGGCCUUGAGCCGUGGCUUUCGGAGCUAACGCGUUAAGUAGACCGCCUGGGGAGUACGGUCGCAAGAUUAAAACUCAAAUGAAUUGACGGGGGCCCGCACAAGCGGUGGAGCAUGUGGUUUAAUUCGAUGCAACGCGAAGAACCUUACCUACUCUUGACAUCCAGAGAACUUUCCAGAGAUGGAUUGGUGCCUUCGGGAACUCUGAGACAGGUGCUGCAUGGCUGUCGUCAGCUCGUGUUGUGAAAUGUUGGGUUAAGUCCCGCAACGAGCGCAACCCUUAUCCUUGUUUGCCAGCGAGUAAUGUCGGGAACUCCAGGGAGACUGCCGGUGAUAAACCGGAGGAAGGUGGGGACGACGUCAAGUCAUCAUGGCCCUUACGAGUAGGGCUACACACGUGCUACAAUGGCGCAUACAGAGGGCAGCAAGCUAGCGAUAGUGAGCGAAUCCCAAAAAGUGCGUCGUAGUCCGGAUUGGAGUCUGCAACUCGACUCCAUGAAGUCGGAAUCGCUAGUAAUCGUGGAUCAGAAUGCCACGGUGAAUACGUUCCCGGGCCUUGUACACACCGCCCGUCACACCAUGGGAGUGGGCUGCAAAAGAAGUAGGUAGUUA
rnacentral:rRNA from 1 species